rnacentral:lncRNA from 1 species
UGGUUGUGGUGGUGGUGGUGGCGGCGGCGGCGGGGGCGGUGGUGGGGGUGGUGGUGGGGGUAGUGGCGGCGGCGGUGGUGGAGGAGGAGAUGGCGGCAUUGGAGGCGGUGGCGGUGGUGGUGGCGACGGUGGCGGUGGCGACGGCGGCUGUGGAGAAGGUGGAUUGUUUAGAUUGGGAAUUGGUGUUCCCGGAGACUGAGAGACGGGGCAGCAGUCGCAUAGCGUGUUAAACAUGGCUGCAGCACACGUCCCUCGUGCGGCACCUGGCGGGGGCACGCAAAGCUGCUCCAAGGUGGUGCAACCCUUGCCAGGUCUGUUAGGUUUAAGGAUGAGGCACACCUCC